rnacentral:rRNA from 1 species
ACCAAGGAGUUUAGCGUGUACGCAAGUCAUUGGGUGAAUAAAACCCAAAGGCGAAAUGAAAGUAAAGAGUUGAGUUUAUAAAAAAGGAAUUUAUUCUUUUUUUAUUUUUCUCUUUUUUCUUGAGGGAAGAUGAAAAUUUAAUUUAUAAUAUAUUUAUAUAUUAUUUAUUUAAAUUUUUCGCAUUCCCAGGGCGCUUGUUUCACGCUUUGCGUGUCGAUGCGCACCUAGAGCGUACACGCUGAUACCCGAAAGAUGGUGAACUAUGCCUGGCCAGGACGAAGCCAGGGGAAACCCUGGUGGAGGUCCGCAGCGAUUCUGACGUGCAAAUCGAUCGUCGGAGCUGGGUAUAGGGGCGAAAGACCAAUCGAACCAUCUAGUAGCUGGUUCCCUCUGAAGUUUCCCUCAGGAUAGCUUGCGCUCGAUUCAGAGUCUCAUCCGGUAGAGCGAAUGAUUAGAGGCAUUGGGGUCGAAACGACCUCAACCUAUUCUCAAACUCCAAAUAGAUGAGAUCCCCG